UACGUAGGGACCGAGCGUUGUCCGGAAUCAUUGGGCGUAAAGAGCGUGUAGGCGGCCACUUAAGUCCUGCGUGAAAUCUUGCGGCUCAACCGCAAGCGGUCGUGGGAAACUGGGUGGCUAGAGUGCGGGAGAGGAGAGUGGAAUUCCUGGUGUAGCGGUGAAAUGCUUAGAUAUGACAUAGAACACCAAUUGCGAAGGCAGCUGGCUACACGAAUAUUGACACUGAUGCACGAAAGCGUGGGGAUCAAACAGG
rnacentral:rRNA from 1 species